rnacentral:snRNA from 1 species
GUGCUCACUUCAAUAGCACAUAUACUAAAAUUGGAAUGAUACAGAGAUUGGCAUGGCCCUUGUGCAAAGAUGACAUGCAAAUUCGUGAAGCAUUCCAUACUUUU